rnacentral:rRNA from 1 species
ACGCUCGACCCUACGGGAGACAGCAGUGGGGAAUAUUGCACAAUGGGGGAAACCCUGAUGCAGCGAUGCCGCGUGAAGGAAGAAGUAUCCCGGUAUGUAAACUUCUAUCAGCAGGGAAGAAAAUGACGGUACCUGACUAAGAAGCCCCGGCUAACUACGUGCCAGUAGCCGCGGUAAUCUGAGCGGGCUGGCAAGGC